rnacentral:lncRNA from 12 species
UGCUGCUCUGCGUGACCACCCGGCCUCCCCGUUGGCCCCCUGAACACAGGCCACACUGGAGAGGGGUCGGGACUGGGGACGGGUAAGAGGCAGGCCAUCUGCAGCACACAGAGGGGACUUUGCUUUGGGCCCCAUGGGCAGUGGACCCCCGUCCUGGCCUGUCCGCUGUGCCCAGGAAGCGCCGUUGGCUCAAGGUCGGGGGGCCAGGCUCCCAUCAGCUCACCAGCCAGCUCCUCAGAGCCCAGGGUGGGGUUUUCCCCCUGGAGAAGCGGCUUUGUCCCCCAUCUGUCCCUGUCCCCCGUCUGUUCUGCCUGAGCACCACCUCCUGCAGGUGCCAGCUACUUCCAGUGGACAGGCCUGGGCUCCGCACACCCAUCCCCACGGAGGCCCCGCACUGGGGUGAUCCAGCCCUCAGCUUGCUCCUCUGCCUCUGGAAAUUCAGGAUGGGCCCCACCCUGGAACAGUGUUCAUGGCCUCCUGCUGUCAGUCGGCGGCUCACCUGCUGGUACAGGAGGAGCACUGUCCACAGGAAAGGACCAGAGAUGGAUGUAGGCAGACUAGCCUGGGGGCAGGAAGCCGGGGCACAGCGCCAGGUGCUGGGUCACCCUCAGAAACCCACCUACAGGGGCCCACAGCCAGCCGGUGCACCCAAGACCCACAGACCCAGCCCAGCCCAACUCCAAGAACACAGCUCCGUGCUCGUACACCUGUGGGGAAGAGGAUUCUCUGUGUGAGGAAGGAACCCGCCAGCAGCGCCCCGAGCCAGGACGCCCAGGGAGGUGACCCUGACGUCCCCACCCGGCUUGGUCCUCCGCUAGAGCUUCAGCUGCUCUUCCUGCGUUAA